rnacentral:sRNA from 1 species
GGAACAUCUAAUGCGGUGAAUUCUUUA